UACAGAGGUCCCAAGCGUUAUUCGGAAUCACUGGGCUUACAGAGUUCGUAGGCGGUCUGGAAAGUUGGGUGUGAAAUCCCUCGGCUCAACCGAGGAACUGCGCUUGAAACUACCAGACUCGAGGGAGAUAGAGGAAAGCGGAACUGAUGGUGGAGCGGUGAAAUGCGUUGAUAUCAUCAGGAACACCGGUGGCGAAGGCGGCUUUCUGGGUCUUACCUGACGCUGAGGAACGAAAGCUAGGGGAGCGAACGGG
rnacentral:rRNA from 1 species